rnacentral:tRNA from 1 species
UAGAAGGUAGAAUAGUGUAGUUCUAAAAAUUUUGAGUUUUUAUGUGCAGGUUCAAGUCCUGUUCUUCUAA